AUUCAUAUAGUUUAAGAAAAACAUUACAUUUUCAUUGUAAAAUUAGAAAUUUUUAUCUUAUGAAUA
rnacentral:tRNA from 1 species